rnacentral:lncRNA from 1 species
GGUAGGGCCGGAGUGUAUCAGUAACGUACCUGCUUCAUCAUAGGAGACUGUCAACUUUUCCAGCAUUUCCCGGUCAAUUGACAAGAUCUGCUGCUCGAGGAUGGUCUGGUAGGUCAGAACACUGUUUUCUUUGUCCUUCUCAUAAUCCUGAAGGUGCUGCUUAAGAGCCUCUGGGAGUCGAGAUUUUACAUAUUCCGCUGCAGUCUGUACAUAAACAGAGAACCCCCUUAGUACUCAUCGUAGGCUUCUCAUUUACCCCAGAGGCUAUAGAGUUCUCAGAGUACUGUGGAUCCAACCUCCAGGCACACCUGUCUUUGUCAUUGUGACUUUUAGAUUCCAAUGCAUGCAGGAAGAUGAAUCUUCAAACUGUCAGAACCCCAGAAGCCUUCCAUCUAGUUUAAAGGCAUGGAAGAUGACAGUUAUGUGUACUCAGAGUUAGUACCCAGGCUUUCAAUUCCAAUGAGUUCAGAGAGGCUGAAUCAUGAUAAUUUGUCUGGCACACAUCUGCAAAAGACAUUCCCGUCCUCUGAAGCCCACACCUCCACUGUACAUUGCUGGUCUCCACCCACAGAAGACACUUCCAUCCUGUGUGGUCCAUGCCUCACAACUGAGCUUUGCUAGUCUCCACCCACCAAUGUCCAAAAGAAGUCCUGUGAAGUGGGUGGAAAGAAGCUUAUGCUAACUCCGAUAUUGGAGCUCUGGCACACAUAGAAAGAGGGACGGUGGAGCAGUUGCUCUCUAGGUCCUAGGUUCAAUUCCCAC